GGGCCCGUAGCUCAGCUUGGAUGGAGCGCCGGUCUGCGGAACCGGAGGUCCCGGGUUCAAGUCCCGGCGGGCCCGCCA
rnacentral:tRNA from 1 species